rnacentral:rRNA from 1 species
UACGUAGGGUCCGAGCGUUGUCCGGAAUUACUGGGCGUAAAGAGCUCGUAGGUGGUUUGUCGCGUUGUUCGUGAAAACUCACAGCUUAACUGUGGGCGUGCGGGCGAUACGGGCAGACUGGAGUACUGCAGGGGAGACUGGAAUUCCUGGUGUAGCGGUGGAAUGCGCAGAUAUCAGGAGGAACACCGAUGGCGAAGGCAGGUCUCUGGGCAGUAACUGACGCUGAGGAGCGAAAGCAUGGGGAGCGAACAGG